CUCUGGCAGGCAGGAGUGGGGGGUCACAAGGUGCUCAGUCAGGGAGCUUUUUAGGCCAGGAUGAGCCAGGAGAAGGAAUUUCACAAGGUAAUGUCAUCAGUUAAGGCAAGGACCAGCCAUUUUCACUUCUUUUGUGGUGGAAUGUCAUCAGUUAAGGCAGGAACAGGCCAUUUAAAUAUCACUUCUUUUGUGAUUCUUCAGUUACUUCAGGCCAUCUGGAUGUAGAUGUGCAGGUCACAGGGGAUAUGAUGGCUUAGCUUGGGCUCAGAGGCCUGACACUUUUA
rnacentral:lncRNA from 1 species